rnacentral:rRNA from 1 species
CAGCAGCCACGGGAAUACAGAGGGUGCAAGCGUUAAUCGGAUUUACUGGGCGUAAAGGGUGCGUAGGUGGUUAUUUAGGUGAGAUGUGAAAGCCCCGGGCUUAACCUGGGAACUGCAUCUUAUACUGGGUAACUGGAGUGCAGUAGAGGGUAGUGGAAUUUCCGGUGUAGCGGUGAAAUGCGUAGAUAUCGGAAGGAACACCAGUGGCGAAGGCGGCUACCUGGACUGAGACUGACACUGAGGCGCGAGAGCGUGGGGAGCAAACAGGAUUAGAUACCCCGGUAGUCCCUGUCUCUUAUAC